UUAACCGGAUUAGAUACCCUGGUAGUCCACGCCGUAAACGAUGAUAACUAGCUGUCCGGGGACUUGGUCUUUGGGUGGCGCAGCUAACGCAUUAAGUUAUCCGCCUGGGGAGUACGGCCGCAAGGUUAAAACUCAAAUGAAUUGACGGGGGCCUGCACAAGCGGUGGAGCAUGUGGUCUAAUUCGAAGCAACGCGCAGAACCUUACCAGCGUUUGACAUGUCCGGACGAUUUCCCAGAGAUGGAUCUCUUCCCUUCGGGGACUGGAACACAGGUGCUGCAUGGCUGUCGUCAGCUCGUGUCGUGAGAUGUUGGGUUAAGUCCCGCAACGAGCGCAACCCUCGCCUUUAGUUACCAUCAUUUAGUUGGGGACUCUAAAGGAACCGCCGGUGAUAAGCCGGAGGAAGGUGGGGAUGACG
rnacentral:rRNA from 1 species